UACAGAGGGUGCAAGCGUUGUUCGGAAUUAUUGGGCGUAAAGCGCGUGUAGGCGGCUUUGCAAGUCGGGUGUGAAAGCCCUCAGCUCAACUGAGGAAGUGCGCCCGAAACUGCAGAGCUUGAGUGCCGGAGAGGGUGGCGGAAUUCCCCAAGUAGAGGUGAAAUUCGUAGAUAUGGGGAGGAACACCGGUGGCGGAAGGCGGCCACCUGGACGGUAACCUGACGCUGAGACGCGAAAGCGUGGGAGCAAACAGG
rnacentral:rRNA from 1 species